rnacentral:rRNA from 1 species
UUGAACGCUGGCGGCAUGCUUUACACAUGCAAGUCGAACGGCAGCGCGGGGCAACCUGGCGGCGAGUGGCGAACGGGUGAGUAAUAUAUCGGAACGUACCCAGAAGUGGGGGAUAACGUAGCGAAAGUUACGCUAAUACCGCAUACGAUCUACGGAUGAAAGUGGGGGACCUUCGGGCCUCAUGCUUGUGGAGCGGCCGAUAUCUGAUUAGCUAGUUGGUAGGGUAAAGGCCUACCAAGGCGACGAUCAGUAGCUGGUCUGAGAGGACGACCAGCCACACUGGGACUGAGACACGGCCCAGACUCCUACGGGAGGCAGCAGUGGGGAAUUUUGGACAAUGGGCGCAAGCCUGAUCCAGCAAUGCCGCGUGAGUGAAGAAGGCCUUCGGGUUGUAAAGCUCUUUUGUCAGGGAAGAAACGGGAUUGGCUAAUAUCCAGUCCUAAUGACGGUACCUGAAGAAUAAGCACCGGCUAACUACGU